CAGGAAGAUUUAUGAGGGUCUUAAAAAUUACUUUUGGUGCCUCUAAACGGAUACGAUCAUGGUUUAUUCACAGUUUUCCAGUUCUGUUUUAUAUGCUUGCAUUUGAAUUAGGAGGACGCGUCGGAUAAUUUCAUCUGCUUAAUAUUUGACAAGUAAUUAAGCAAGGGUGUGUUCUAUAUCUGGAUGCACCGCACUGCUCGAGGCACCGGGGUCUGUGGGUGACAGGGCGGCAGAUGUGCUCCUUGGCCUUAAAAAGCUUUAAUCUCAUUAAAAAAGAGAAAGAUGUGGCUACGGGAAACCAACAAAUGAUUACCAGCUGUAAUUAUCUAGAAAAUUCUGAAGGCAACAUAUAAUCAAGUCCAUAAUGUAACGUGAGUUGCAUACAAAAUGCUGCUAGAACACACACGAGAGUCUGAGGCACGUUCAUUAAACCGAGAGGGUCUCUUGGAGAAGUGGAGUCGUGAGUUGGGCCUUGAAGGAAAUGUUGACAAUGGCCUUGUGCGGAGGACAGGAAAGAGAAGACGCCGGGCUGAGUCGGUGGAGAGGGAGGGACAGCCCCAGAGGAGGAGGCCAAGCAGGAGAGAGGGCAGUUGUGAUGAGGCUAACAGCGAGGACCGCCCGUUACUGAGUGCCUUACAGUGUUUGUAAAGCCGUUGGCGGGAGCUGUACAAUAGUUGUCUUAUUUAUAUCCUAAGUGCCCCGAUUUUACCUAGGAGAAAAAGGAGGCUUAGAGAAAUGAAUUAAUCCAGGUCAUGUAACUAAUGGCUUGUGCGAGGACCCCAGCCUCACGCCUUUGCGAUUUCUGUCCUCCCCGACCAGGGGCCAGGGGGGAAGGGGCAGGAGGACGUGGACAUGGGGGCCUUGCACGAGGGAGGGGCAGGAACCUGGAAACUCUCUGUUGCUGAAGCAGCACAGUGAAACCGGGGUCCUGUGGCUAGUACCGUCCCUUUAGACGAGGUGGUACAAGCACAGGCGGGGGACCACACGGGUGGAUUCGAAGGCUGUGAACACAGCCAGCCUCGCUCUUCCUGGGAAGCAUUCCAGUGAAGUUAAGAGCGAGACAAGGGCGUCCCCCAGGGCGCUGUCACUUAAAAUUCUUCUGGAGGCGACAGCCACUUUAAUUAGGUAAGGGAAUAAAAAAAGAGAAGAAAGAAAGAAAGUAAGAGGCAAAGUGAUCAUUAUUUGCCAAAGAUGUGAUUGUCCAUCUUUUUCUAGGGGCAGAAUCAAAACUCCAGAGAACCCAAAACUAUCCGAGAUAAGAGAUCCCAGAUGGCCAGUUAUAGACUUUUUAAAAAAUGCUUCUUUAAUACAAUGAGCAACUAAAAAUAUGAUGAAAGGCAUUCAAAAUGUUAACCCAAUUCCUAAGUGAUUUAUUCCUGGGAAUAAACUUGAAAGAAAUGUUCAGUGCUCAUAGGGGCGAAAGCAUAAAACCUACUGAGAGCUACAAAAGCACAUUUGAAAAUGGAGAAUUAUGUUGAGUAUCUAGAUAGAAAGUCCAAUAUAGUAAAGAGGUCAGUUCUCCCUAAAAUUAGUCUGUAAGUUUAGCAGAAUUCUAGUGGGAUUGCACCAUGAUUUUGGGGGUGGGAGGCAAUUUUUAAAGUAAUUCAUGAGUUCUUCUGAAAGAAAAAAUGUAUGAGCAUAUUUUGAGUUACUCCAAAAAGUAAGUAACGAGGGUGGAGAGGAUGGGGGCAUUUCUGCUUGUAAAUAAUCCAGUUAUUAGCUUAGUCAUCGUUAAAGUGGUGUUGUUCUGAUUCCAGGAGAGAGAGGUAAAUCACAUAGAAUGAGACCUAAACUACGUAAGAAUUGAAUUUAUUCUAUCAGAUAGGUCUAUGGUGAACUUUACAUCAAGUCUAGGUAGGUUAAACUUUUAAUUUAAAUAAGCGCAAAUGUAAAAGCAACAGAAAAGCUAUCAGUGACCAUGUAGUCUUGGGCGGAGAAGGCAAUUAUAAGCAUUACAAGAAAGCCAGAAAGAUUCGGUAGAUUGUACUACAUAAACAUCUAAAUGUGGGCAAAAACGAACCCUUUUGAAUGUAAGGACAAUGAAAGGGGGGAAGGUAUUCACAAGAUACUUGUUGGACAAAAGAUUCGUAUCCUGAGCACGAGAAAACAAGGGCAUCCACGUGGUAGGAAAACGGGUUGAGAAGGUGUUGUAUAGGCAAUUCACGAAAAAGAAAUGUAAACGAUUAGUCAACGUUAAUCAAUGUGCAAUGAAGGAUGGAUGAGGUGACGGGGAGGUCAGGAGCUCCAAGAGC